rnacentral:rRNA from 1 species
AGUGAACGCUGGCGGUAGGCCUAACACAUGCAAGUCGAACGGCAGCAUAGUAAGAGCUUGCUCUUACGGGUGGCGAGUGGCGGACGGGUGAGGAAUACAUCGGAAUCUACUUUUUCGUGGGGGAUAACGUAGGGAAACUUACGCUAAUACCGCAUACGACCUACGGGUGAAAGCAGGGGAUCUUCGGACCUUGCGCGAUUGAAUGAGCCGAUGUCGGAUUAGCUAGUUGGCGGGGUAAAGGCCCACCAAGGCGACGAUCCGUAGCUGGUCUGAGAGGAUGAUCAGCCAAACUGGAACUGAGACACGGUCCAGACCCCUACGGGAGGCAGCAGGGGGGAAUAUUGGACAAUGGGCGCAAGCCUGAUCCAGCCAUACCGCGUGGGUGAAGAAGGCCUUCGGGUUGUAAAGCCCUUUUGUUGGGAAAGAAAAGCAGCAGGUUAAUACCCCGCUGUUCUGACGGUACCCAAAGAAUAAGCACCGGCUAACUUCGU